AGAGUUUGAUUAUGGCUCAGGACGAACGCUGGCGGCGUGCUUAACACAUGCAAGUCGAACGGAGCACCCUUGAUUGAGGUUUCGGCCAAAUGAUAGGAAUGCUUAGUGGCGGACUGGUGAGUAACGCGUGAGGAACCUGCCUUUCAGAGGGGGACAACAGUUGGAAACGACUGCUAAUACCGCAUGACGCAUUUUGAUCGCAUGGUCGAAAUGCCAAAGAUUUAUCGCUGAAAGAUGGCCUCGCGUCUGAUUAGCUAGUUGGUGAGGUAACGGCCCACCAAGGCGACGAUCAGUAGCCGGACUGAGAGGUUGACCGGCCACAUUGGGACUGAGAUACGGCCCAG
rnacentral:rRNA from 1 species